CACGAAGUUAGCCGGGGCUUAUUCCUCCGGUACCGUCAUUAUCGUCCCGGAUAAAAGAGCUUUACAACCCUAAGGCCUUCAUCACUCACGCGGCAUGGCUGGAUCAGGCUUGCGCCCAUUGUCCAAUAUUCCCCACUGCUGCCUCCCGUAGGAGUCUGGGCCGUGUCUCAGUUCCAGUGUGGCUGAUCAUCCUCUCAGACCAGCUACUGAUCGUCGCCUUGGUGAGCCGUUACCUCACCAACUAGCUAAUCAGACGCGGGCCGAUCCUCCGGCAGCAAGCCUUUCCCAAAAGGCUAUCCGGUAUUAGCUCAAGUUUCCCUGAGUUAUUCCGAACCAGAGGGCACGUUCCCACGCGUUACUCACCCGUCCGCCGCUCGACACCCGAAAGUCGCCCGCUCGACUUGCAUGUGUUAAGCCUGCCGCCAGCGUUCGCUCUGACGCCAGGAUCAAACGUCU
rnacentral:rRNA from 1 species